UACAGAGGGUGCAAGCGUUGUUCGGAAUUACUGGGCGUAAAGGGCGCGUAGGCGGUUGGAUAAGUCAGCUGUAAAAACCACGGGCUUAACUCGUGGCCUGCAGUUGAGACUGUCUGGCUUGAGUGUGGGAGAGGAGAGUGGAAUUCCUGGUGUAGCGGUGAAAUGCGUAGAUAUCAGGAGGAACACCGGUGGCGAAGGCGGCUCUCUGGACCACAACUGACGCUGAGGCGCGAAAGCUAGGGGAGCAAACAGG
rnacentral:rRNA from 1 species